rnacentral:rRNA from 1 species
UACGUAGGGGGCGAGCGUUGUCCGGAAUUAUUGGGCGUAAAGGGUUCGUAGGCGGUUAUUUAAGUCAGGUGUGAAAGGCAUAGGCUCAACCUGUGUAAGCACUUGAAACUGAAUGACUUGAGUUAAGGAGAGGAAAGUGGAAUUCCUAGUGUAGCGGUGAAAUGCGUAGAUAUUAGGAGGAAUACCAGUGGCGAAGGCGACUUUCUGGACUUAUACUGACGCUGAGGAACGAAAGCGUGGGGAGCAAACAGG